rnacentral:tRNA from 1 species
GUUUAAAUGCUUGUUUUUCAACGAAAGGUAAAAAUAGUGAUUUAUAUCACCUAAAACUCAUAAUCGCUUGGUCGCUGGUUCAAGUCCAGCAGGGGCCACCA